UAACGGCCCACCAAGACUCGAUGGAUAGGGGUUCUGAGAGGAAGGUCCCCCACAUUGGAACUGAGACACGGUCCAAACUCCUACGGGAGGCAGCAUG
rnacentral:rRNA from 1 species